CCCUUAGAUGUCCUGGGCCGCACGCGCGCUACACUGAACGGAUCAGCGCGUUUUCCCUUCCCGAGAGGGACGGGUAACCUGCUGAACCCCGUUCGUGGUAGGGAUCGGGGCUUGCAAUUAUUCCCCGUGAACCAGGAAUGCCCAGUAAGUGCAAGCCAUAAGCUUGCGUUGAUUACGUCCCUGCCCUUUGUACACACCGCCCGUCGCUACUACCGAUUGAACGUUUUAGUGAGGUACUCGGACUGAGCCUCAGAAGAUUCACGUCUUUUGUGCUGCUCGGGAAGAUUCCCAAACUUGAGCGUUUAGAGGAAGUAAAAGUCGUANCA
rnacentral:rRNA from 1 species